rnacentral:rRNA from 1 species
AUCGGAAUUACUGGGCGUAAAGCGUGCGUAGGCGGUUCGUUAAGUCAGAUGUGAAAGCCCCGUGCUUAACCUGGGAACUGCAUUUGAAACUGGCGGACUAGAGUUGAGUAGAGGGGAGUGGAAUUUCAGGUGUAGCGGUGAAAUGCGUAGAUAUCUGAAGGAACACCAGUGGCGAAGGCGACUCCCUGGACUCAAACUGACGCUGAGGUACGAAAGCGUGGGUAGCAAACAGGAUUAGAUACCCUGGUAGUCCACGCCGUAAACGAUGUCAACUAGCCGUUGGUCCUAUUUACAGGAUUAGUGGCGCAGCUAACGCAUUAAGUUGACCGCCUGGGGAGUACGGCCGCAAGGUUAAAACUCAAAGGAAUUGACGG